rnacentral:snoRNA from 1 species
CGGGAUGUGAUGAUCCUUUCCCCAAAUGAUCGACGGUGAAUACACUGUGCAUUUUUCUUUGUCUCCUCAGAUUGGAGGAGGAAGAUUCAAGCCAGCGGUUCUGAUCUCC